GAUGAAGAACGUAGCGAAAUGCGAUAAGUAAUGUGAAUUGCAGAAUUCAGUGAAUCAUCGAAUCUUUGAACGCAUCUUGCGCUCCUUGGUAUUCUGAGGAGCAUGCCUGUUUGAGUGUCAUUAAAUUCUCAACUACACUGACUUUGAAUUGGUGUGGCUUGGAUUUGGGGGGAAAAUUGUUGUGGGCUUUUUGUAUAGUCUGCUCCCCUGAAAUUGAUUAGCGGUACCUUUGUGGAACUGUCUACAGGUGUGAUAAUUAUCUACAUCUUAGACAUCUGCUGGAAUGCUGCUUUCUAAACCUUACUUGUAUUGACAAUCUUGACCUCAAAUCAGGUAGGACUACCCGCUGAACUUAAGCAUUCAAUAGCGGAGGA
rnacentral:misc_RNA from 1 species